rnacentral:tRNA from 1 species
GCGGGAUUAGUAUAGUGGCAGUACGACUCUCUUCCAAGGAGUAGGCGCCAGUUCGAUUCUGGUAUCCCGCU